rnacentral:rRNA from 1 species
AACGAACGCUGGCGGCGUGCUUAACACAUGCAAGUCGAACGCGAAAGAGUUCUUCGGAACUUGAGUAGAGUGGCGCACGGGUGAGUAACGCGUAAGUGAUCUACCCCUGUAUCUGGAAUAACCAUGGGAAACUGUGGCUAAUACCGGAUACGUUCAUGUGAUUGCGGUCAUGUGAAGAAAGAUGGCCUCUGACUUAAGCUAUCGUACAGGGAGGAGCUUGCGUACCAUUAGCUAGUUGGCAGGGUAAAGGCCUACCAAGGCGACGAUGGUUAGCGGGUCUGAGAGGAUGAUCCGCCACACUGGAACUGAAACACGGACCAGACUCCUACGGGAGGCAGCAGUGAGGAAUAUUGCGCAAUGGGGGCAACCCUGACGCAGCGACGCCGCGUGGAUGAUGAAGGCCUUCGGGUCGUAAAAUCCUGUCGGAUGGGAAGAAGUGUAAUGUGGUUAAUACCCAUGUUAUUUGACGGUACCAUCAAAGGAAGCACCGGCUAACUCCGUGC